rnacentral:rRNA from 1 species
UAAAACGUAGGACGCAAACGUUAUCCGGAAUUACUGGGCGUAAAGAGCGUGUAGGCGGUUUGGUAAGUCAACCGUGAAAGCUCCCGGCUAAACUGGGAGAGGUCGGCUGAGACUGUCAGACUAGAGGGUGUUAGAGGGAUGCGGAAUUCCGGGUGUAGUGGUGAAAUGCGUAGAGAUCCGGAGGAACACCAGAGGCGAAGGCGGCAUCCUGGGACAUUACUGACGCUGAGACGCGAAAGCAUGGGGAGCGAACGGGAUUAGAGACCCCGGUAGUCCAUGCCGUAAACGAUGUUCACUAGAUGUGCGUAUUCCUACGGGGAUAUGUGCGUCGAAGCUAACGCGCUAAGUGAACCGCCUGGGGAGUACGGUCGCAAGGCUA